CUGAAUAUACCGGUUCUCGUUAGAUCACCGAAGUCAAGCAUCAUUGGGCGCGGUCAGUACUUGGGUGGGUGACCACCUGGGAACACCGCGUGCCGU
rnacentral:rRNA from 1 species